GGCCUCGGCGCAGCGCACGCCGUUGCAGCUGGGCGGCACGACUGCAAACGCAACGGGGGAAAUCCGCGAUCACGUUGCGUCCAGGUGCACGGUGCGUGGAGGUGCAUAGAGGCUGCAUGUCAAGGUGUGCCAAGAUGGGUCGAUUGGCAUGCAGCUGCAGCAAGGAGGAGAUGAGAGGCUGAGCUGAGCAAGGAAGAGCGGUGGGCGACGGCGUGCCCGGAGCUCUGCAUGCAAGCCACGCACGGAGGGG